AAAAAAAUAUAUAGAAUUCUGAGAAAAUAAGUCAUAAAUCUGAGUUUAAUCUCAGAGUUCUGACUGGUACCUAAAACAAAAAAAAAGGGAAAUUGGGGAAGAUUAUGAGGGGGGAUCAGAAUUCUGACUUAAAUCUUAAAAUUCGGGCAUUUUUUUUUUGUUUUGAUUUUUUUUAACAAAACAAUUCCUAAAUAGUUUUUUGUUUGUUUGGCUUUAGGUUCAUGAAAAAAGUCAGAAUUCUGACUUUAAUCCCAGAAUUUUGAAAUUAUCUGACUUUUUUUUUCUCAAUUCUUUUCUUUUUCUUCAGUGACUCUAAUACUCUUAGGCAAUAAGGCAGUAUUAGGGCCACUGAAGGAAACAAUUGAAUACUGAGAUAAAUGUCAGAAUUCUGACUUUAUUUAUUUUCAGAAUUUUUUCUUCUUCAGUGGCCCUAAUACCCCUCCGUAUUAUGUAAUGUUAAACACUUCAAAUUAACUUUUGAAUUCAGCAGUUUAUCAUUGGAUUUAGAUGCAGAUAUCACUGUCUUGGAAAAAUGGUCAGAGCAAUUUGGCAUUAAGUUUGAUUAGUAAACUUGACAAUAUUUACACUCUUAAUCUUCUUAGGAAUUACAUGAUGUCCACACAAGGCGUACCACUGUUCUCCAUGCCCUUCCUGUCUAUCUACGUGAGGAAACCUGUGGAUUUUUGAGGACAUGUGUGGAUGAUACCAAUGAGCCAGACCUCAGGGAUGCAGCAGUUGUCCUCCUGACAACCAUCACCGAUGAUGCCGAGAGUCGAGUUACGUACGACCCAGUGAGAAUCUGUUAUCCUAGAGGGUGAUGUGAUUGUCAACCUCUCCAGGCUUCCUGAUGCCUUCCUGGGCAUGCUCAGUUGAAGUUUCCAUCUCUGCGUGUUCAAGAUGUAAGAAAAAUAACACGAAAGAAAUGCAACAAUGAAAACUUCAAAAAGGCAUCAACAACCAAGCAAGUGGAUCCAUAAAAUGGACUGAUUUUUUUAAAGGCAUUUUUAAAAAGUCUUUCAAAAUGGACAGAAUUAACGCGUCAUGUUCAGAACAGUUUGCGUUCUCAUCUUUGAUUAAUCCUGGUAAACAGGUCUGUUUUUGUUCUGUUCUAAUUCUCUCUGUUUAAUAAAUUUAAACAAAAUGA